rnacentral:rRNA from 1 species
UACGGAGGAGGCAAGCGUUAUCCGGAAUUAUUGGGCGUAAAGCGUCCGUAGGUGGCACUUCAAGUCUGCGGUCAAAGCCCGGGGCUUAACCCUGGAAAGGCCGUGGAAACUGAAGUGCUAGAGUGCAGUAGGGGUAGAGGGAAUUCCCGGUGUAGCGGUGAAAUGCGUAGAGCUCGGGAAGAACAUCGGUGGCGAAAGCGCUCUACUGGACUGCAACUGACACUGAGGGACGAAAGCUAGGGGAGCGAAUGGG